rnacentral:snRNA from 1 species
GUGCUCGCUUCGGCAGCACAUAUACUAAAAUUGGAAUGAUACAGAGAAGAUUAGCACGGCCCCUGCGCAAGGAUGACAUGCAAAUUCAUGAAGCGUUCCAUAUUUUU